rnacentral:rRNA from 1 species
AGUGAACGCUGGCGGUAGGCCUAACACAUGCAAGUCGAACGGCAGCACAGUAAGAGCUUGCUCUUGCGGGUGGCGAGUGGCGGACGGGUGAGGAAUACAUCGGAAUCUACUUUUUCGUGGGGGAUAACGUAGGGAAACUUACGCUAAUACCGCAUACGACCUACGGGUGAAAGCAGGGGAUCUUCGGACCUUGCGCGAUUGAAUGAGCCGAUGUCGGAUUAGCUAGUUGGCGGGGUAAAGGCCCACCAAGGCGACGAUCCGUAGCUGGUCUGAGAGGAUGAUCAGCCACACUGGAACUGAGACACGGUCCAGACUCCUACGGGAGGCAGCAGUGGGGAAUAUUGGACAAUGGGCGCAAGCCUGAUCCAGCCAUACCGCGUGGGUGAAAAAGGCCUUCGGGUUGUAAAGCCCUUUUGUUGGGAAAGAAAAGCAGCAGGUUAAUACCCCGCUGUUCUGACGGUACCCAAAGAAUAAGCACCGGCUAACUUCGUG